AUGCUGGGGUUGGCGAGCUCUCACUCCACUGUAGAUGCUCCGGUUGUGAGCUCUCCCUCCGGUGUAGAUGAUGCUGGGGCUGUGCGCUCUCGCUCCCCUGCAAAUGCUGGGGCUGUGCGCUCUCGCUCCCCUGCAGAUGCUGGGGCUGUGCGCUCUCGCUCCCAGGUAGAUGCUGGGGCUGUGCGCUCUCGCUCCACUGUAGACGCUGGGGCUGUGUGCUCUCCCUCCACUGCAGAUGCUGGUGCUGUGCGCUCUUGCUCCCGGGUAGAUGCUGGGGCUGUGCGCUCUCGCUCCACUGCAGAUGCUGGGGCUGUGUGCUCUCGCUCCACUGCAGAUGCUGGUGCUGUGCGCUCUUGCUCCCGGGUAGAUGCUGGGGCUGUGCGCUCUCGCUCCCAGGUAGAUGCUGGGGCUGUGCACUCUCGCUCCUGGGUAGAUGCUGGGGCUGUGCGCUCUCGCUCCCCUACAGAUGCUGGGGCUGUGCGCUCUCGCUCCCCUGCAGAUGCUGGGGCUGUGCGCUCUCGCUCCACUGCAGACGCUGGGGCUGUGCGCUCUCGCUCCACUGCAGAUGCUGGGGCUGUGCGCUCUCGCUCCCGGGUAGAUGCUGGGGCUGUGCGCUCUCGCUCCCAGGUAGAUGCUGGGGCUGUGCGCUCUCGCUCCCGGGUAGAUGCUGGGGCUGUGCGCUCUCGCUCCCCUGCAGAUGCUGGGGCUGUGCGCUCUCGCUCCCCUGUAGAUGCUGGGGCUGUGCGCUCUCGCUCCCGGGUAGAUGCUGGGGCUGUGCGCUCUCGCUCCCAGGUAGAUGCUGGGGCUGUGCGCUCUCGCUCCCGGGUAGAUGCUGGGGCUGUGCGCUCUCGCUCCCCGGUAGAUGCUGGGGCUGUGCGCUCUCGCUCCCGGGUAGAUGCUGGGGCUGUGCGCUCUCGCUCCCCGGUAGAUGCUGGGGCUGUGCGCUCUCGCUCCCGGGUAGAUGCUGGGGCUGUGCGCUCUCGCUCCCCGGUAGAUGCUGGGGCUGUGCGCUCUCGCUCCCCGGCAGAUGCUGGGGCUGUGCGCUCUCGCUCCCGGGUAGAUGCUGGGGCUGUGCGCUCUCGCUCCCCGGUAGAUGCUGGGGCUGUGCGCUCUCGCUCCCCGGCAGAUGCUGGGGCUGUGCGCUCUCGCUCCCGGGUAGAUGCUGGGGCUGUGCGCUCUCGCUCCCCGGUAGAUGCUGGGGCUGUGCGCUCUCGCUCCCGGGUAGAUGCUGGGGCUGUGCGCUCUCGCUCCCCGGUAGAUGCUGGGGCUGUGCGCUCUCGCUCCCGGGUAGAUGCUGGGGCUGUGCGCUCUCGCUCCCCGGUAGAUGCUGGGGCUGUGCGCUCUCGCUCCCGGGUAGAUGCUGGGGCUGUGCGCUCUCGCUCCCCGGUAGAUGCUGGGGCUGUGCGCUCUCGCUCCCGGGUAGAUGCUGGGGCUGUGCGCUCUCGCUCCCCGGUAGAUGCUGGGGCUGUGCGCUCUCGCUCCCGGGUAGAUGCUGGGGCUGUGCGCUCUCGCUCCCCUGCAGAUGCUGGGGCUGUGCGCUCUCGCUCCCGGGUAGAUGCUGGGGCUGUGCGCUCUCGCUCCACUGUAGACGCUGGGGCUGUGCGCUCUCGCUCCCAGGUAGAUGCUGGGGCUGUGCGCUCACGCUCCCGGGUAGAUGCUGGGGCUGUGCGCUCUCGCUCCCCUACAGAUGCAGGUGCUGGGGCUGUGCGCUCUCGCUCCCCUGUAGAUGCCAGCGGCUACUUCCUAUCGCGCUUUCUCGGAUCAACGACCAGGGNUGGGGCUGUGCGCUCUCGCUCCCCUGCAGAUGCAGGUGCUGGGGCUGUGCGCUCUCGCUCCCCUGCAGAUGCCAGCGGCUACUUCCUAUCGCGCUUUCUCGAAUCAACGACCAGGCGGUUGUAAGCACCGAGAGCAGCCCGAGGCCACAGGGCCCCCUUCCCUGCGCGGUCCUGGGCCCUGCACACCGCGAACCCCACCGUGGCCCCGCCGCGCCCCCGCGCCCCGUCUCGGUGCUGCCGGCGGUGGAGAGGCCCGUGGUUGCGGCUGGAGCCUGCAGCUCCGCCGGCGCCUCCCGGGGCCCGGGCCUCCCCCUCCUCCCGCCAGCGGCUGCGGCCGCCCGUCCGCUGACCCGGGGGCACGUCGCCCGGAUCAAGGGCUCACCGGGCGGCACGGGGCCGUUCUCCGAUUCCACCGGCCCUGCGCUCGUGGCGAACGGCAGCCCCGCAGCCGCCGGGCACGCGCUCAACGGCCUGUCUGUAAUCACGCGUGUCCCGGGCCCACGCGGGCUCCGGCAGGGCCAGGCGACACGGCCAGCGCCCCGCCCGGCCGCUAAGCGGCGGUGUCCGCGGCCCCGGCAGAG
ensembl:lncRNA